UUCUCACAAUAACCUUCAGAAUGCUUUUAUUUUUUUAUAUUAUUUUAUUUUAUUUUUUGAGAUGGAGUCUCGCUCUGUCACCCAGGCUGGGGUGCAGUGGUGCGAUCUCGGCUCACUGCAAGCUCCGCCUCCUGGGUUCACCUCAUUCUCCUGCCUCAGAUUCCCGAGUAGCUGGGACUACAGGCGCCUUCCACCAAGCCCGGCUAAUUUCUUUUUGUAUUUUUAGUAGAGACGGGGUUUCACUGUGUUAGCCAGGAUGGUCUUGAUCUCCUGACCUCGUGAUCCACCCGCCUCGGCUUCCCAAAGUGCUGGGAUUACAGGCGUGAGCCACUGCACCCGGCCAGAAUGCUUUUAAAUACAAAAGACAACACAACUCUAGCUGACAAAGAACAGAAAUAAAUAUUAUUAGUUCAAUAAUUAAAUGUCCAGAGACAGGGUGGGGUUUUGGCCUGGUUUGACCAGGAAUCCAGUUUUAUUUAUUUAUGAUUUUCUUAGCUCUGCUCUUUUCUAUUUGCCAUUUUAGUUGAAAUCUUGUCAGUAACAUGGAUAACUGACUGCUUUUAUUUCAGCUUUCAUGUUUGUACUUUACAUCAUUUAGACAGAGUUUCUGUAUCUCAAAUAAUUAUUAAGUUUUAUACUAAUGGGCCACCCCUGAAGAACAGAGAAAUUCCAUGUGGUUGGCCAAUUCUUGAACUACUUGACUAAAUCUCUGUUAUAAUGGAGAUGUUAAUGCUCAUAAUGGCUUAGAAUCCAAUACAGGAGCUGGUAGUAGUAUAAAUCCUAUCCAAACCAUAUGCCUGCUCUAUGAUGGAAUGGAUGCUAAGCUAAUAAUCACAAUGUUCCUGUGUUACUCUGUGGCACAUGUACAAAAAUAUCUGUCAAGUUCCUUAUUUGUAGUAUCACAGUACAGGAGAGGAACUUGCAGAUUAUCAGUGGGCUUACUUUCCAAAGCUUAUGAAGUUUGAAUGACGACUUGUUCAAGACAAUUUGAAAUUUUUAGUAAUGCUAAUUCUGUUUGUUUUGCUUUGUUUUGUUUUGAGACGUCUCUCUGUCACCCAGGCUGGAGUGCAGGGGCUGGAGUGCAGUUGCACAAUCUCGGCUCACUGCAACCUCCCCUUCCCGGGUUCAAGUGAAGGAAUGCUGAUUCUGUAUUCAUACUUCUGACUGCAAGGAGUUCCAACAAUAGGAGUGAUUGCUUACUUAUUGACUCUGGACCACAGGGUUAAUGAGAAGUACGGAGUUACUCUAAGGGAUCAACUGGUUCUGACUGGCAGCUUGCCAUUAGAAGGGGGUGAACUACCUAUUAUGAUCCUGUAUUAAAUUAAUUGGAAAGAGUUUAUGUUUUCAGUAUUCCAGCAUGCUCGAAGUUUAAGAUGCAGACAAGGAAAACAAGGCAGCCUAGAGAACAUUUACCUUUGCAUAUUCUCAUACAAUUUUUAUCCAUUUUGCUUCUCUUAAUAAACUUUACACAAUCACUGCCUGGAAAUGUA
rnacentral:lncRNA from 10 species